UCCUCCACUUGAUUUUUUUUUUUUCCUUUUUGUGGGUAACAAAUUCACAAAUAAGCUAUAAUCAAGUAGAAGAUGAAGCUGCCUGUGUCAUCUUCAGUCUUCUGCUACUGUCCUUUAAAGAAUCACAUUUGGUUUAUGGGGUUAUGGAGAGGAAGAUAGAUGGGAGGGAAUCACCUUUACCCUACAAGAAGUCAUUCUUAAAAGAGGAUGAUUAAAUCAAGUAUGCCAAAAGGCGAGCCAUGCUUUACCUGGAUAUAUAGUACAGACAACAUGCCUAAGGAAAAAGGGAACAGAAGAAUACACAUUACAAUAUUGAUGUGUUUAAUUUAUAAUGAAGACUGUUGCUGUUUCAGCAGUGGUAUUGCUUGUUCUAUUUCUGUCAGAGCAUAUCUUAAGCUGUACAAGGAAAGGCUAAAUCUCCAACUGCUGUAUCAGCUGGGCAUCAUGUCAAAUUAGUGCCUGUUGAAGAUUUUUCUGAGUUUC